UGGGGAAUAUUGGACAAUGGGGGCAACCCUGAUCCAGCCAUGCCGCGUGAGUGAUGAAGGUCCUUCGGGUUGUAAAGCUCUUUUUAGGCGGGGACGAUGAUGACGGUACCCGCAGAAUAAGCCCCGGCUAACUUCGUGCCAGCAGCCGCGGUAAGACGAAGGGGGCUAGCGUUGUUCGGAAUUACUGGGCGUAAAGCGAGUGUAGGCGGUUGCCGUAGUCAGGUGUGAAAGCCUUGAAGCUCAACUCAAGAAAUGCACUUGAUACUGGGUGACUAGAGGACCGGAGAGGAUAGUGGAAUUCCCCAGUGUAGUGGUGAAAUACGUAGAGAUUGGGAAGAACACCAGUGGCGAAGGCGGCUAUCUGGACGGUUACUGACGCUAAGACUCGAAAGCGUGGGGAGCAAACAGGAUUAGAUACCCUGGUAGUCCACGCCGUAAACGAUGGGUGCUAGACGUUGGCGAGCUUGCUCGUCAGUGUCGCAGCUAACGNGUUAAGCACCCCGCCUGGGGAGUACGGCCGCAAGGUUGAAACUCAAAUGAA
rnacentral:rRNA from 1 species